rnacentral:misc_RNA from 1 species
GUUGCAGCAAGCCCAUCAUCACAUGCACCUACUUAUCCUCCAAAACUAAGUCCCAGGGUGAAUCUUUCUCCUGGUCCUUCUCCACAAAUGUCUUCCUCAAUCUCAUCUUCAUCAUCAUCUCUUGCACCUGGCUUUUCUUACAAGGGGCUCUGCUUGUUCUGGUUAUUUGGAUUGGCAGUAUUUCAAAUCCUUGGUUGGACGUGGUGACUGUCGUGUUCUGGUUUGACAAGAUUUUAACAUCUUCAAAGAAGAAGAGAGGUGUAUACUUAGCAACAAACAACUUUAUUUGAUUAGGAAUUAUAGCAUCAUUUGCCAGUUAGUCUGUGGUUACCAUGGCAAGUCACGGUAACCACACUAUAUGAAGAGAAGAAAUCACAGGUCAAAGCCAAAAGGUG